rnacentral:rRNA from 1 species
UACGUAGGGUGCAAGCGUUGUCCGGAAUUACUGGGCGUAAAGAGCUCGUAGGCGGUUUGUCGCGUCGUCUGUGAAAUCCCGCAGCUCAACUGCGGGCUUGCAGGCGAUACGGGCAGACUUGAGUACUGCAGGGGAGACUGGAAUUCCUGGUGUAGCGGUGAAAUGCGCAGAUAUCAGGAGGAACACCGGUGGCGAAGGCGGGUCUCUGGGCCGUAACUGGACGCUGAGGAGCGAAAGCAUGGGGGAGCGAACAGG